rnacentral:rRNA from 1 species
GAUGAACGCUGGCGGCGUGCCUAAUACAUGCAAGUCGAGCGAACAGACGAGGAGCUUGCUCCUCUGACGUUAGCGGCGGACGGGUGAGUAACACGUGGAUAACCUACCUAUAAGACUGGGAUAACUUCGGGAAACCGGAGCUAAUACCGGAUAAUAUAUUGAACCGCAUGGUUCAAUAGUGAAAGACGGUUUUGCUGUCACUUAUAGAUGGAUCCGCGCCGCAUUAGCUAGUUGGUAAGGUAACGGCUUACCAAGGCAACGAUGCGUAGCCGACCUGAGAGGGUGAUCGGCCACACUGGAACUGAGACACGGUCCAGACUCCUACGGGAGGCAGCAGUAGGGAAUCUUCCGCAAUGGGCGAAAGCCUAACGGAGCAACGCCGCGUGAGUGAUGAAGGUCUUCGGAACGUAAAACUCUGUUAUUAGGGAAGAACAAAUGUGUAAGUAACUAUGCACGUCUUGACGAUACCAAAUCAGAAAGCCACGGAUAACUACGUG